rnacentral:tRNA from 1 species
UCCUGGUUAGCUCAGUUGGUGGAGUACUCCGCUGGAAAUGGAGAGGUCCCUGAUUCUAUACCAGGACUAGGCG